GUGGGGAAUAUUGGACAAUGGGCGAAAGCCUGAUCCAGCCAUGCCGCGUGUGUGAAGAAGGUCUUCGGAUUGUAAAGCACUUUAAGUUGGGAGGAAGGGCAGUAAGUUAAUACCUUGCUGUUUUGACGUUACCAACAGAAUAAGCACCGGCUAACUUCGUGCCAGCAGUCGCGGUAAUACGAAGGGUGCAAGCGUUAAUCGGAAUUACUGGGCGUAAAGCGCGCGUAGGUGGUUCAGCAAGUUGGAGGUGAAAUCCCCGGGCUCAACCUGGGAACUGCCUCCAAAACUACUGAAGUAGAGUACGGUAGAGGGUAGUGGAAUUUCCUGUGUAGCGGUGAAAUGCGUAGAUAUAGGAAGGAACACCAGUGGCGAAGGCGACUACCUGGACUGAUACUGACACUGAGGUGCGAAAGCGUGGGGAGCAAACAGGAUUAGAAACCCCAGUAGUCC
rnacentral:rRNA from 1 species